rnacentral:lncRNA from 1 species
AGAGCUUCCCUGCAACACCCCCGCUGGGCGUACCCAGAGAUCAUGGCGCUCCAAGCUACGACAUCUCUACUUGGCAUUUGGUCGAACAGGGCGCGCGCCUUCCCCAGAUGGCCGCAUUUCGCGAACAUGUCCAUGAGAGACGUCGCCAGGUUGGUGUUGCCGCUCCUCAUCUUCUUCCUCUCCACGUACCUGCUGAUCCAUUCCCCGAGCUCGAGCUCCCCCAGUCUCCCGCAGGCGUUGAGGACGACGAUCAGGGUCGCGCCGUCGAACGGUGCUCUGGAGUCAACCAUCCGGCGGAACAAGUCAACGACAGCGCCCCACUCCCCGAGCUUCGCGUACCCCGCGAACAUGGAGUUCCAGGCGACCAGGUCCAGAAGGGAUAU